UACGUAGGGUGCGAGCGUUGUCCGGAAUUAUUGGGCGUAAAGAGCUUGUAGGCGGUUUGUCGCGUCUGCUGUGAAAAUCCGGGGCUCAACCCCGGACUUGCAGUGGGUACGGGCAGACUAGAGUGUGGUAGGGGAGACUGGAAUUCCUGGUGUAGCGGUGAAAUGCGCAGAUAUCAGGAGGAACACCGAUGGCGAAGGCAGGUCGCUGGGACGGUACUGACGCUGAGACGCGAAAGCGUGGGGAGCAAACAGG
rnacentral:rRNA from 1 species